rnacentral:rRNA from 1 species
GACGAACGCUGGCGGCGUGCUUAACACAUGCCAGUCGAACGGAAAGGCCCUGCUUUUGUGGGGUGCUCGAGUGGCGAACGGGUGAGUAACACGUGAGUAACCUGCCCUUGACUUUGGGAUAACUUCAGGAAACUGGGGCUAAUACCGGAUAGGAGCUCCUGCUGCAUGGUGGGGGUUGGAAAGUUUCGGCGGUUGGGGAUGGACUCGCGGCUUAUCAGCUUGUUGGUGGGGUAGUGGCUUACCAAGGCUUUGACGGGUAGCCGGCCUGAGAGGGUGACCGGCCACAUUGGGACGGAGAUACGGCCCAGACUCCUACGGGAGGCAGCAGUGGGGAAUAUUGCACAAUGGGCGGAAGCCGGAUGCAGCAACGCCGCGUGCGGGAUGACGGCCUUCGGGUUGUAAACCGCUUUCGCCUGUGACGAAGCGUGAGUGACGGUAAUGGGUAAAGAAGCACCGGCUAACUACGUG